CGGGCGCGGGCGGCUCUCCCACUGGGGUGGCGCUGGCGUGAGAGCACAGGCUAGGAGGCUCACGCAGCCGACCUGGGAGAAAUCAUCGGAGAACCUCUUUUAGAAAACGAGCAUAAGGACUAUGACAGUGAAGGGAGAAUAUCAUGGGAAAUGUUUGCAAAAGAGCCAGAUUGCUGACUGAGGAAGGCCUCUCUGAGGAGGUGACCUUAAAACACAUCUGGAUGACAAGGAGCAGUCAAUUAUGCCAAAAUUAGGGAGAGGAGGAGGAGGCAAGACCAGGAAGCAGGAGUAGGGUCCUGGAAGGCUCUGCAAGGAUGAGGUGUUUUGUUUUUUUCUCCUGAAAGACUAACUGGCUUCCAAAGAGGAGUGUUUAUGUUCUAGGUUCUCUUACAUAUGCUUUCCCUAAUCCUUCAUUAACAAAGCAAACCCAACUUCCAACUA